UGAUUUUAACAAAUUUUAGGGUUUCUAAAAACAUUCUUUUUUUUGGGCUAUUUUUUUUACGGCUCGGACUCAGACGAGUCAGCUUGGACUGGAAUUAUUAACUCAGCCAGGUCGGAGGCUGAGUUCCCUGGUUGAGCCGAGUAAAAAGACAUCUGUUUCAAGUGAUAAAUGAAGGUUCUUGCAAACCUAAUGUUUUCACCUUCAAUAUCCGUAUUGAUGGCUCCAGUAAAGCAGUAAGCAUCAAGUAGCAAAGGAAUUGCAUACAGUAAGCAUCAAGUAGCAAAGGAAUUGCAUAAAGAUAUGAUCCAAAGAGGUAUCAUUCCUAAUAUGAUAACCUAUUCUGUAGUAAUAGAUAUGUUUUGCAAGGCAGGACAAAUGGAUGAGCAUAAGGAUUGCUCGAGGGAAUGAUUGCAAAAGGUUAUUCACUAGAUGCUAUGAUAUAGGGGGGGAGUUCUAAGUUCAUGCCAUUGAUCCAUCAAAUAGCAUGUAAAGGCAAUGUACUUGAUGAGCAAUUCAUAGUGACAAUCUUGGAUUGUCUUUUGUGUGAUGGUAGGUUUUCAAAGUGUACAGAAUCACUUUCAAAAUUAACUUGAGCCAAAGGAAAACCGAUAUCUCAUGCAAUUACUUAUUAAGGAAACUCCAGAAGUUGCAUCCCAAAUAGGAGGAGAAACUGUUCAAACAUGGCUGACAGGUGCUAUUUGUUAGCAUUAAUGAAUUGCUAUGGAUUGUUUGUGGGUAACCAAUUCCGUUGAAAGCUUCUAAUCUCCUCUUGGUCUAUAUUUAAGUUAUUAUGAUUUCAAAUCUAGUUUUUGUCGAUAUAAUUAAGAUUUCUUUGCCCUCUAUUUCUAUAAUUGUGUGCAUAAAUGGGGUCCACAAGAUGAAAACAUGCAAAACUAUGGUGUAUCAGCUUUUCAAAACUUCUUUGUUAUUUUGAUAAUUCUACUUUUCAAAGGAUUUUAAAGUAACCCAACAAGAAAUCUUAGAUGGGAGAUACAGUUGGAAACACAGUAGCAAAACUUUCAAGAUUGGCGAGCCUUACCCUUUUCAAGGGAUAUUAGUUUGCGGGGGAGUCCUUUGAAAUGUUUGUUGUAGGUUGCCUAGAAAAUAACCAUGGACCUAAUAUUGUCAAACAGGGAUGUCGGUGAGGACCUUUCUCCAUCGAAAAUCCUACUGUUUUUCUCAGCCAUAUGACCCAGAUGGUAGCCGCCACUGAUGCCCACAAAAGGAUGCUAGCUUUGGGCCAGGGAAAAGGGUGGAGGGAGCUGAAGAGGAGGACCUUCUUUCAAGGUUGGCAAGCCUUGCCCUUUUCAUGACAGGUCCGCAUUACCCGGGCCUCCCUUUGGAGACCACCAAAUCCAGGGCAGACCAAGCUGAACUUUGACGGUUGCUCCUUGGGCAACCCUGGCCCCUCAGGAAUUGAUGGCUUACUUAGGGACCAUGGGUUCAUAUACUCGCCUCCUUCUCCAAAAGCAUGAGACACUAGGACUCCCAUACAGCAGAGGCCCUCACUCUCCUUGAAGGCAUCAGAUUGUUUAGUCCCUUGUGGAGCCUUUAGUUAGUGGUAGGGGGGACUCCAAGAAUGUUAUAUGAUGGGGCCUCUUGCUCCUCUCCACGCCCUUGGUCACUUGCCCACAUUUUUUAUGAAAUUGCGCACAUUUGCUGGGAUAUGGAUGUCUCUUGGAAGCAUCUGGUGCGAGACUAACCAAGAAGCUGACACUCUCGCUAAGGAGGCUACUUCAACAGCGCAGUUUGACCCGAGCCUCUCUACUUGGCUCUUACACUGGGAGGAUUUUUCCUACCUAGAUUUGAUGCCCAUUUAGGGGUUGCCUUUUUACUUUCGUAUAUAGCUCCCAACCUGUGGGAAGUUUAUUUUUUUGUAGAGCUCCCAGCAUGUGGGAAGCCUAUUUUUUCAAUCAAUUGUACUUCUCUCUACUUAAUAGAAUAGAACUGUUAACACUUUCAAAAGAAAAAAAAUUCUAGCAUCUCUUGGUCAAUUGAUAGAGUCUUAAUGAUCCAACAUUAACAACGUGUAUAGUUCUUACUUCUUAGAUGCAGCUAAGUCUGGUGUACCAGGUGAUCUGAGCAUUACAUUCCUUCACCAUUUGUUGUAUAUCUCUAUGGCUACUUUUGAUGAGCAUACUCCUCAUAAUCUUCCUCAGUUACUGACUAACCCCUAGUUCUCUUACAAGAGAGCACAUGGCUGCAAGGGCUUUCUGUGACAAUUACAUUCUCUCACAGGCAAAUAGGGCAUUACAUUUUCUUGGCAUUGUAUUGGAGUUGUCACUACAUAUUACUUUUAAAAAGAAUACUCGAUAUUAAUUUCCAAACAUAAAAAGAUAAUACUCCCUAUUAUUUUCCCUCAGAUGCUUAUCUGGUCUCAUUUCUAUUGGAGAGUGUGUUUCCAAAUCCUUCCACUUUGAUGGCUGUGGCUGUAAACAGAAAACCCUUCCUCUAUGAUGGCUCAUAUUGAUUGAGUGCUGAAACUGGCAGUCCAAGGACCUCUUUUGCCAAUCUUGUGCGUACAAUAUCUAGCUCUUUCACCAUUGGCCUACUCGUAGUUGUUAAGAUUGGAACGGACUGGUGGCUUGACGGGUUGGACCAUCGAUUAGUGCCUUGGCCAGUUUUGCCAAAGUAAAAACCAUGUUUGGUAAAAACCUGUCAAAACUAGUGUUCGACCAACUUGAAAAUUUGGGUUCAACUAGCUCACAAAGUUGGGCAAAGUCUUUAUUUAUAUUCUAUAGUUGAAAAUCCAUAUUUAUUUUUAUAUAUUAGUAUCCAGUCAAACUUGUUCAACCAGCUUUAAGAAUGAUUUUAAUUGGACUAGUCCCCUCCUCGGUUUGGUCGCCAAUCUGAUCCUAAUAACACUGCUUCUACUUGUUAUCACAACAUUAGAAAUAUGUCAUAAUAAUUCGACAUUAUUUUGUGAAGAAUAUUUUUCAAUGCUCUAAUUUAAAAUAUUUUUUAAAUAAUUUUGUGAAAUGAUUUUCGAAUAAUUUUCUCCCCAAAUGUCUUUUAUGAAAUAAGAUUUUUAUGAGUAAAGUUAAUAGUUUUGUAAAUUUGGACUAGGUAAGUCUUUUAAAAGAAAAGGACUAGAUUUGCUAAAUGCCAUGGCAUAUACAGCUUGAGAUGCCCAUUUGUGUGCUCGGCCGGACAUAUAUGUGAUGCAUGCACAUCUAAUUGGUAUUUUGUGAUACAGAAGAGAACCUAAAAGAGAUGUGCCGAAAUCCGCCAAGAAAAAGAAAAAGGAAAAUAAAGAUGGCUAUGAAUUUGGUAGAAUAAAAGUUUGUUUGAAGACUCCAAAAAGAUACCAAAAGAAAGAACUACAAAUGAAGCUUGGGAGAAAUUUAUGUAGAGAAAAAGGAAAUUUCGAAAACCAAAGUGAGAUUUGGCUCAGUGCUUACGAGACUGAUAACAAAGCUUAUCUUUUCAUCACCUCUCAUUUAACCUGGGUUGGAUGCAGUCGAGUGCCGAAAAAUGGAGGAGUAGUGAAAUUUGUGUACCAAUGAGUUAAAGCAUUGCACAUAAAUGUCGUAACUCAUUAAAACAAAAUCAGUUACAACACCCAUGAAGAAAUGAAGCAAAGGAGCAGCACCAUUUUAUGCGGAAGAAAAGGCAGUGCCGCAUCGGCAUCCUCAAUUGGAUGCAGAUGUAAAUUUGGUGUCCAAGAUGGCUACAAAUGGGGAACACAGGAUAUUGUCAUUUGAAGGCUACAUUAUCAACAUGCCAUAGCAAAUAUGACAAUGGUUUGCACUUGUAUUAUAGCCAUCAAGUUGUUCCAUAGGAAAAAUUGGCAUGUGGAAUUCUUCAAAUUUUGAUGGAAAUGACUGAAUGCAGAUUACCAGAAAAAAAGAAUUUGUCAUCUUCCAGUUUGCAGAAAAUUGGUUUUAUGAGAUCACUCCAGAAAAUAGAGGAGAUAUAGCAAGAUAGGAGGCUUGAAAAUGGAUGGGGAAGAAUGGCAGGGCAUUAAAUCUUCCAACUUAAGCUUCAGGCCAUAGGUAUUGUAUCUAACCCAUUCAUUACAAUAAGUUCCAAAUGGGAUUCAGGUCGCAACUGAAUGCUUGAAGGUAAAAAUAUGAGAAAUGAGAGCUAAGAAAGCAAGUACAAACAUGGUUUGAUGACUUUCACAGGAUGUUCACAAGGAACAUAGGUACAUUAGAUGCAAA